rnacentral:misc_RNA from 1 species
GAAUGGGAGGUGAGGUCGCGGAACUAGAACGUAAAAAUGCAGCACAUGGAUGAAGCAAUGAAAUUAUAUGCUAACGGAAAACAAUCAUUAUGAAACAUACUAAAAACAAAACAAAUAAAAUUAAACAUUUACGUAGACCACAUAAAAUAAAAAUUUUACAAAAUUUCACAAAUUCUUAUAUUAAAUUAUCAGUUAACAAAUUCUAUCUGUUCAAAUCUAUUUGAAUCAUGACAAAGUGGCAUUAACCAACUUUAUAGAUAAAGUUUCCACCAACACAGCAAAAGCUUUUCAGCAAUAAGCAAAAAAUGUGAGGCAGGACAUGCAUGCAAGUAGGCAUGCACAUAAUAAAAGAAACGAACCACCAUGCAGUAAGCAUUUCACAAUUUUGUUCCAUUCUCUGAAUGCUUAAAUUUAGUCUCUGUACUUAUCGGA